rnacentral:rRNA from 1 species
UGGGGAAUAUUGGACAAUGGGCGAAAGCCUGAUCCAGCCAUGCCGCGUGUGUGAAGAAGGUCUUCGGAUUGUAAAGCACUUUAAGUUGGGAGGAAGGGCAUUAACCUAAUACGUUAGUGUUUUGACGUUACCGACAGAAUAAGCACCGGCUAACUCUGUGCCAGCAGCCGCGGUAAUACAGAGGGUGCAAGCGGUAAUCGGAAUUACUGGGCGUAAAGCGCGCGUAGGUGGUUUGUUAAGUUGGAUGUGAAAUCCCCGGGCUCAACCUGGGAACUGCAUUCAAAACUGACUGACUAGAGUAUGGUAGAGGGUGGUGGAAUUUCCUGUGUAGCGGUGAAAUGCGUAGAUAUAGGAAGGAACACCAGUGGCGAAGGCGACCACCUAGACUAAUACUGACACUGAGGUGCGAAAGCGUGGUGAGCAAACA